GUGCCAGCAGCCGCGGUAAUACGUAGGAGGCGAGCGUUGUCCGGAGUUACUGGGCGUAAAGGGUGCGCAGGCGGCGGUUCGCGUGGCGAGAUGAAAUCUCCUGGCUUACCUGGGAGGAUGGUCGCCAGACGGGAUCGCUUGAGGGUCGGAGAGGGGCGUGGAAUUCCGGGUGGAGCGGUGAAAUGCGUAGAGAUCCGGAGGAACACCGACGGCGUAGGCAGCGCCCUGGACGACACCUGACGCUGAGGCACGAAAGCUGGGGGAGCGAACAGGAUUAGAAACCCUUGUAGUCC
rnacentral:rRNA from 1 species